rnacentral:lncRNA from 1 species
GGAUUUCUUUGCUUUGAAUGCUCUUUUUAUUUAUUUGAUUUUUUUUACUGUUUUGAUUCGAGCACCAAUGGUGAGUUUAAUGUAGACGAAAUGCACGUCUGGUGUACCAAGUUAUAAGUUUGGUCGUUAUCUUACCUCAUCCUUAUUUUCAUGGAUCAUGAUUGAUAAGAUAUGUUUUGUUUUGAUACUUGUUGAUUAUUGAUUGUAAGACUUUUUCUAUUUGUAAAUGAUGCUGUGAUGUGUUUUGUUUCUGUUUUGUGUUUUAAUCAUAAAUCUAAAUGAUGACCAAUAUAGCUUUUUGCGAU